ACUGACUUGUUUUGGCAACUUGAUUGUAGGACGACGGCCCGAGGCCUGGACAGGGUGGCCCGCCCCGUGCCGGCGGCCCUGGUGCCCCUGGUGGUGCGCCUGCUGGCGCCGGUGCCGUUCCUGGUGCCCCUGGUGGUGCGCCUGCUGGCGCCGGUGCCGUUCCUGGUGCCCCUGCUCCCCGUGUCUAGUUUGGGAAUGCUUUGUCCGUGAUAUGCGCCAGCCCUAGUUUUACUCGUAUCUGGAUAUUGGACUAUUCUACCUAGUUUUUGCUGUAAUCGGUUGUACUGAAAGUUGGUUGGUCAAGCACAAUUUGUGAUCAGGUCUUUAAUGUUUUGACAAUUUCGCUGCUAUCUAUAUCGGAGAGAACCUUUUGGUUUGUCUGGGGAUUGCCCCUUGUGGUUUUGUGUUCAUGCAUCAUAUCAUCUUGUAGUUCUUUCAUGAUGAGACUGUAGUCUGCGAUCUAUCUUCUCUUGUUAGUUCACAAUGCUGAGUUAAAAAUCACUCGUGAAUUGGUAUUUGAUAUAGCCUUGUAGAGAUAACAUAUCGCAGAUUCCAACAAAGAGC
rnacentral:lncRNA from 1 species